rnacentral:rRNA from 1 species
GGGGAAUCUUAGACAAUGGGGGCAACCCUGAUCUAGCCAUGCCGCGUGAGUGAUGAAGGCCUUAGGGUCGUAAAGCUCUUUCGCCUGUGAUGAUAAUGACAGUAGCAGGUAAAGAAACCCCGGCUAACUCCGUGCCAGCAGCCGCGGUAAUACGGAGGGGGUUAGCGUUGUUCGGAAUUACUGGGCGUAAAGCGCGCGUAGGCGGAUUAGAAAGUUGGGGGUGAAAUCCCGGGGCUCAACCUCGGAACUGCCUCCAAAACUGCUAGUCUAGAGUUCGAGAGAGGUGAGUGGAAUUCCGAGUGUAGAGGUGAAAUUCGUAGAUAUUCGGAGGAACACCAGUGGCGAAGGCGGCUCACUGGCUCGAUACUGACGCUGAGGUGCGAAAGUGUGGGGAGCAAACAGGAUUAGAUACCCUGGUAGUCCACACCGUAAACGAUGAAUGCCAGUCGUCGGGUAGUAUACUAUUCGGUGACACACCUAACGGAUUAAGCAUUCCGCCUGGGGAGUACGGUCGCAAGAUUAAAACUCAAAGGAAUUGACGGGGGCCCGCACAAGCGGUGGAGCAUGUGGUUUAAUUCGAAGC